GCGGCGUUUUGAGGGUCUCUUGAAUUACAGUCCUCUGCCUUCCCCCUUUGCCUGAGUUGGCCAGCCUGGCGAGCAGGUCAGCUCUGGCAUUUUGCUCCCUGGGGACGUGGACUAGCUCAAACGCAGCGAAGGCUCUCUUCAACAUCUCGACGUACCUCAAGUACGCGACCAUUUGUGGAUCCUUCGCUUGAUAUUCUCCCGUUACUUGACCUGUGACCAGCUGUGAGUCACUCUUUGCCAAGAGGUUCUGAG
rnacentral:lncRNA from 1 species